rnacentral:rRNA from 1 species
CGGACGGGUGAGUAACACGUGGAUAACCUACCUAUAAGACUGGGAUAACUUCGGGAAACCGGAGCUAAUACCGGAUAAUAUUUUGAACCGCAUGGUUCAAAAGUGAAAGACGGUCUUGCUGUCACUUAUAGAUGGAUCCGCGCUGCAUUAGCUAGUUGGUAAGGUAACGGCUUACCAAGGCAACGAUGCAUAGCCGACCUGAGAGGGUGAUCGGCCACACUGGAACCGAGACACGGUCCAG